UGAUGGUAUGGUGGAUAGUGGUGAUGGUGGUGGUGCUGUUGGUGAUGUUGAUGGUGGUGAUGGUGUUGGUGGUGCUAGUGGUGGUGGUGCUGUUUGGUGAUGGAUAGUGGUCAUGGUGGUAGUGGUAUGUGUGAGUGUGUGUGUGUGUGUGUGUGUUUAAAUAAAUGAUGCAGACUCAGGAGCAAGCAGGAUCCUCACCUUCUGGUCACCAUGAAUGAGAGGACAAGUCAUUCAUUGUUUGAUGCCCAUGCACUGAUGAAGCACCAGCUUUGCAGAUGACCUUCAACUGUGCCUGCAGAAGGGAAGCCAUUCGACUCCUGGGUUCCUCCUGCAUUUAACUCCUCCCUAGCAGCUCUGAGAUGAUACAAGACUCUAAUAUAGGAUAGCCAAACUCUCCCAGGCUUCUUGGUACAAGGAAGGUGACAAAUAUUGGGUUGAUUUCAGGGGUCUCCUCUGCCUGCUCUACAUCAGCCACAGGAGGGGAUAGUGUUUUCUCUGCAGACAGGACAGAGUCCGUGCUAAUCUCAUUUCCUGCCCAUGCCAAGGAUGAGUCACCACUUGGCUCCUUUGUUAAGUGGAGUUGCUGACAUCUGCUUCAUUUACUGCACAGGGAUGGGGCAAGGACAAUGGUAGGCAGCUACUGUAAAAGUGUGAGGCACCCAACUUGCCCCAGAAGAAACUAGGUGGGGACAUGUUGACAAAUAAAGCAUUAAUCCAUAGGAGGUCACCAUCGAUGAUCUGGGAAGCACAGGUGAUCUGAGGGGGGUCCUUAGGUAUUUCUCAUGAGGACAGGAAGUGGCUUGAAAUGUGUCCUUUACACUGGGACUCUUCAGUGCUGUUUGACAAUGUUGUGCAACACUUGUUCAUGAGGCAGGCUUGCUGAGGUCUCCCCAAAGUAGCUGGCACUCCCACGUGCUCUAAAACCACCACAGGGAACUGGCAAACCGAGCUGCCAACUGGACACUCCAGGGUCAGGCCUGGUGGCCAAACCUGCCAUACCCCCAAGUGGCAGGAUGGAGGAAGGGAGAACUUUUAGGUUGGAAUGAGUGGACAUGUCCCAGUUGCACUUGGUGUUACAGAGAGAGUCACCAAGAUUCCCAGCAUCCUGUCCCCCAUUGUCAGUGUAGACACCUAACAGGAGGGCCCAAGACAGGGGAUACAAAUACAAAUGGACAGAAUGUAAGGCAGUUCGAGCUCUCUUUGGAGUAGAAACAUCCUCAUCCAGGUCUGAAUUUUAAAUAAAUGGUGAGGGGUUUCACUCCAUCUUUUGUGUCCUCUUUCUAGCCAAUUCCGAUUCAAUCCAUCUGGGUAGAGCAGA
rnacentral:lncRNA from 1 species